rnacentral:lncRNA from 1 species
AGCUCCCGGCGGUGGAGAAGAAGCCCACGAGGAUGAGGAGAUGGCCGAUUUGCUUGACUUCUUGGGAGGGAGUGGAGAUACGUGACUGGGAGAUCCCCAGAUUCAUGUUUUCUUUCAUAUUUCUUUUGUCAUUUUUAUUCUAUGUUAUUGUUUUGACUUGAGAGACUAACGUUUGUUUUUGUUGUUUCGAUUGUCAUUUGUACAGCGCAUACAUUUUUGUUUAGAUUGUUGCGUUAGUAUUUAUA